GGAUGUAAUGAUGAGGAGUAGGAAGUUGGGGGUGAAUGGAAUGUUGUGGGUCGACAGUUGCAUGAGGUAAGAACAACAGUUGGGAACUGAACAAGGACUUCUAGGAAAUUCUUCUGAGGACAGUGUCUUGAGGGAGGAAACACAGAAUGGAGUAGAAGAAGGAGUUUCUCGGGGCCAUUCAAGACACCUGUGGAGGUUUCUGUGAAGGACAGAAAUCCUAAUAUUGAAGGUUCCUGUUUAAACAUCGCUGGUUCCCUUCAAGAAACUGAAUUUCUUCAAAGAUAUUCAUUUCCAUGAACUAUUGAGAUGCUGGACUCAAAUUGGUUAGGACGUCUUCUUUGAAUGCAUCUAUCACAGACAAAUGUCCUACGUUUGCUCCUUCACUUUUAUUUUUUUAAAAGGACCUUGACUUAGAAUAAUAGAAUUUUAGAUUCCUGUGUUCUACAGAUCCCUCAGUCUAGUCAGAAGUCUGAGUGAGGAGGGCAGGCUCUCUGUGUAUGGAGGUAAGGAGCACAGUUUUGCCUGAGGCCACCCCUCAAGUCUCUGCAGCUUCUACUAUUUACUGCCCUUCUCUGCACUAUCUCCAUGCAGCACCAAAGGUCCAUGCUCUUCAGCCUGCUGGGAUCUCAAUUUGAGCUGCUCUCAGGGGGAUCAUGUGGAAAGAGAUGGAUUGGGGAAAGAAGAAGUGUGAAUUUACUUGGGACGUCAUGUAAGGAGUUUCGAAAAGUGUAAUAAAGGACCCUGGAAAGCUCUGUGAGUUUAGAAAAGGUUGGGUUCAGUAUCUGGCAAAAGAGAGACAUAAGACAUAAGAUAUAGGCUACUACUGGCGAAGGCAUUUCCUACAGAGACACUUAAUAAUAAUAGCCCACCCAUUUGAAUUUUGAAGCUCAUGAAUCUCUCAGGAUUUAGUUUCAUGAAAGUCAGUGUUCUUUUCACCAUAGAACACUUCUGGAGAAUGGAUUUAACAAAGACUCAAGUAGAACCCACGACAAAGAGCCAAGUAGUAUAUCUGAUGAUUCCAAAGAUCAGACCAUGAGACUAACAUGCCACUUCAGUUCACACUAAUGGGGGCUGGAAUCCAUGUGCCUUCUCUAUGUCAUGAAGAGAGGUGCCCUACUUAAAGAAGCCAUUAGUGUCCCAAUUGUUUCAUAGCUGUCCUGAUGGUUUUGAAUUCUGUAUUCUUAAUGUGGAAGUUAUUAAACUGCCUUGAGCUUUACAAAGCCUUAAUGUGUCUGUGAUAACUCCCCAAGGUUUAAAAGCAAUAAGGAGGGCACUUGCCAAUUUCUUCCUAGCUUGAAGAAAUUGAAGCCAUC
rnacentral:lncRNA from 1 species